AACGAACGUUAGCGGCGCGCCUAACACAUGCAAGUCGCACGAGAAAGGGCUUCGGCCCCGGUACAGUGGCGCACGGGUGAGUAACACGUGGAUAAUCUCCACUCUGGCGGGGGAUAACCUUCCGAAAGGAGGGCUAAUACCGCAUAUGACCACGGUCACGAAAGUGACUGCGGUAAAAGCAGGCCUCUAUACAUAAGCUUGCACCGGAGAAUGAGUCCGCGGCCCAUCAGCUAGUUGGCGGGGUAAUAGCCCACCAAGGCAAAGACGGGUAGCUGGUCUGAGAGGAUGAUCAGCCACACUGGAACUGAGACACGGUCCAGACUCCUACGGGAGGCAGCAGUGGGGAAUCUUGCGCAAUGGGCGAAAGCCUGACGCAGCGACGCCGCGUGAGUGAUGAAGGCCUUCGGGUUGUAAAGCUCUGUGGGGAGAGAAGAAUAAGUGUUGGCUAAUAUCCAGCAUGAUGACGGUAUCUCCUUAGCAAGCACCGGCUAACUCUGUGCCAGCCGCCGCGGUAA
rnacentral:rRNA from 1 species